ACAACAUUCGCACCGUCGGUCUACCGAGCAAUUACACUCGUUCGGUGGAAGAUCUUUCUUUCCCUUCGUCGU
rnacentral:pre_miRNA from 1 species